rnacentral:misc_RNA from 1 species
UCUCCGUAGGUGAACCUGCGGAGGGAUCAUUACCGAGUGAGGGUUCCGGCCCGACCUCCAACCCUUUGUGAAUUCGACCCAGUUGCCUCGGGGGCGACCCGGCCUUCGGGCGUCGGGGCCCCCGGAGGUCUCCAAACACUGCAUCUCUGCGUCGGAGUUUAAAACAAAUUAAACAAAACUUUCAACAACGGAUCUCUUGGUUCUGGCAUCGAUGAAGAACGCAGC